rnacentral:rRNA from 1 species
UGCAGUCGAGCGGGGGAGGUAGAUUGCUACUGGACCUAACGGGGACGGGUGAGUAAUGCUUAGGAAUCUGCCUAUUAGAGGGGGACAACUUCUCGAAGGGGAUGCUAAUACCGCAUACGUCCUACGGGAGAAAGCAGGGGAUCUUCGGACCUUGCGCUAGUAGAUGAACCUAACCCGGAUUAACUAGUUGGUGGGGUAAAGGCCUACCCAGGCGACGAUCUGUACCGGGUCUGAGAGGAUGAUCCGCCACACUGGGACUGAGACACAGCCCAGACUCCUACGGGAGGCAGCAGUGGGGAAUAUUGGACAAUGGGGGGAACCCUGAUCCAGCCAUGCCGCGUGUGUGAAGAAGGCCUUAUGGUUGUAAGGCACUUUAAGCGAGGAGGAGGCUACUCUAGUUAAUACCUAGAGAUAGUGGACGUUACUCGCAGAAUAAGAACCGGCUAACUCUGUGCCAGCAGCCGCGGUAAUACAGAGGGUGCGAGCGUUAAUCGGAUUUACUGGGCGUAAAGCGUGCGUACGCGGCUUAUUAAGUCGGAUGUGAAAUCCCCGAGCUUAACUUGUGAAUUGCAUUCGAUACUGUGGAGCUAUAGUAUGUGAGAGAGUGGUAGAAUUACUACGUGUGUCGCGGAGAUGCGUAGAGAUCUGUGGGGAGUACCCGCUGUGGAAAAGCAGGCCAUCUGUGCUAAAUACUG